rnacentral:rRNA from 1 species
GAGCGAAGCCUUUUUGGUAGUUUACUACUAGAAAUGACUGAGCGGCGAACGGGUGAGUAACGCGUGAGCAAUCUACCUUAGUUACUGGGAUAGCCCGAGGAAACUCGGAUUAAUACCGGAUAUUCUUAUUUUUUCACAUGAAGUUUUAAGGAAAGGUCAGCCGAACUAAGAUGAGCUCGCGUUCUAUCAGCUAGUUGGUGGGGUAAAAGCCUACCAAGGCUACGACGGAUAGCUGGUCUGAGAGGACGAUCAGCCACACUGGGACUGAGACACGGCCCAGACUCCUACGGGAGGCUGCAGCAGGGAAUAUUGUGCAAUGAGCGAAAGCUUGACACAGCGACACCGCGUGUGGGAUGACGGUUCUAGGAUUGUAAACCACUUUCAGGAGGGAAGAAAAUGACGGUACCUCCACAAGAAGACCCGGCCAACUAUGUGCCAGCAGCCGCGGUAAUACAUAGGGGUCAAGCGUUGUCCGGAUUUAUUGGGCGUAAAGAGCUCGUAGGCGGUCCAACAAGUCGGUCGUAAAAGUUUAGGGCUCAACCCUAAAAUGUCGAUCGAUACUGUUGUGACUAGGAUACGGUAGAGGUGAAUGGAAUUCCGAGUGUAGCGGUGAAAUGCGUAGAUAUUCGGAGGAACACCAAUUGCGAAGGCAGUUCACUGGACCGUGAUCGACGCUGAGGAGCGAAAGCUAGGGGAGCAAACAGGAUUAGAUACCCUGGUAGUCCUAGCUGUAACGAUGGAUACUAGAUGUAGGAACUGGAUUGACGGUUCUGUAUCGUAGCUAACGCGUUAAGUAUCCCGC